GAUUUAUUAGCUUAGUUGGUUAGAACGUUGUGCUAAUAACGCGAAAUUUGCAAGUUUGAUUCUUGCUUGAACCA
rfam:Glycine soja cultivar W05 scaffold1225_14, whole genome shotgun sequence.